rnacentral:rRNA from 1 species
AGCAGCCGCGGUAAUUCCAGCUCCAAUAGCGUAUAUUAAAGUUGUUGCAGUUAAAAAGCUCGUAGUUGAAUUUCGGGGUUAGUAGGUUGGUCAUGCCUCUGGUAUGUACUGGUCUCACUGAUUCCUCCUUCCUGAUGAGCCGUAAUGCCAUUAAUUUGGUGUUGCGGGGAAACUGGACUGUUACUUUGAAAAAAUUAGAGUGUUCAAAGCAGGCUAACGCUUGAAUACAUUAGCAUGGAAUAAUGAAAUAGGACGUUCGAUCCUAUUUUGUUGGUUUCUAGGAUUGACGUAAUGAUUAAUAGGGAUAGUUGGGGGCAUUAGUAUUCAAUUGUCAGAGGUGAAAUUCUUGGAUUUAUUGAAGACUAACUACUGCGAAAGCAUUUGCCAAGGAUGUUUUCAUUAAUCAAGAACGAAAGUUAGGGGAAUCGAAGACGAUCAGAUACCGUCGUAGUCUUAACCAUAACUAAUGCCGACUAGGGAUCGAUGAUGUUAAUUUUUAAUUGACUUCAUUCGGCGUACC